rnacentral:rRNA from 1 species
UACGUAGGGCGCAAGCGUUGUCCGGAAUUAUUGGGCGUAAAGAGCUCGUAGGCGGCUUGUCGCGUCGAAUGUGAAAACUCGGGGCUCAACUCCGAGCUUGCAUUCGAUACGGGCAGGCUAGAGUUCGGUAGGGGAGACUGGAAUUCCUGGUGUAGCGGUGAAAUGCGCAGAUAUCAGGAGGAACACCGAUGGCGAAGGCAGGUCUCUGGGCCGAUACUGACGCUGAGGAGCGAAAGCGUGGGGAGCGAACAGG